UGGUGCGAUCAUACCAGCACUAAUGCACCGGAUCCCAUCAGAACUCCGCAGUUAAGCGUGCUUCGGCGAGAGUACAACUGGGAUGGGAGACCCUCUGGGAAGUCCUCGUGUUGCACCCC